GAGUUUGAUCAUGGCUCAGGAUGAACGCCGGCGGUGUGCCUAAUACAUGCAAGUCGUACGCACUGGCCCAACUGAUUGAUGGUGCUUGCACCUGAUCGACGAUGGAUCACCAGUGAGUGGCGGACGGGUGAGUAACACGUAGGUAACCUGCCCUGUACAGGGGGAUAACAAUCAGAAAUGACUGCUAAUACCGCAUAAGACCACAGCACCGCAUGGUGCAGGGGGUAAAAACUCCGGUGGUACAGGAUGGACCCGCGUCUGAUUAGCUGGUUGGUGAGGUAACGGCUCACCAAGGCGACGAUCAGUAGCCGGCUUGAGAGAGUGAACGGCCACAUUGGGACUGAGACACGGCCCAAACUCCUACGGGAGGCAGCAGUGGGGAAUAUUGCACAACGGGGAAACCCUGAUGCAGCAACGCCGCGUGAGUGAAGAAGUAUUUCGGUAUGUAAAGCUCUAUCAGCAGGGAAGAAAGUGACGGUACCUGACUAAG
rnacentral:rRNA from 1 species